ACGCUGGCGGCGUGCCUAAUACAUGCAAGUCGAACGGCUUUUCUAUGGAAGCUUGCUUCCACUGAGAAGAUAGUGGCGAACGGGUGAGUAACACGUGGGUAACCUGCCCAUAAGAGGGGGGAUAACAUCCGGAAACGGGUGCUAAUACCGCAUAGUUUUCUUGAUCGCAUGAUUGAGAAAGGAAAGACAGCCUUUGUGCUGUCGCUUAUGGAUGGACCCGCGGCGUAUUAGUUAGUUGGUGAGGUAACGGCUCACCAAGACGAUGAUACGUAGCCGACCUGAGAGGGUGAUCGGCCACAUUGGGACUGAGACACGGCCCAAACUCCUACGGGAGGCAGCAGUAGGGAAUCUUCCGCAAUGGACGAAAGUCUGACGGAGCAACGCCGCGUGAGUGAAGGAAGGUUUUCGGAUCGUAAAACUCUGUUGUCAGAGAAGAACAAGUUGGAGAGUAACUGCUCCAGCCUUGACGGUAUCUGACCAGAAAGCCACGGCUAACUACGUGCCAGCCGCCGC
rnacentral:rRNA from 1 species